GAUAACAUGCUGAUGUUUUAUCGACGGAGUAGUUUGGCACUUCGAUGUCAGCUCAUCACAUCCUGGGGUUGAAGAAGGUCUCAAAAGUUUGGUUGUUCACCGAUUCAAGUGGUACGUGAGUUGGGUUUAGAACGUAGUCUAUGACACACUUAUAGAAGACGAAAGACAAACACAGUUU
rnacentral:ncRNA from 1 species